AGACAAUCCAGUGAUCAAGUGCAUGAGCAUCGAUCUACGCAAUUGGGAUACGAUGACAUGUGUCAACCAAUUUAUCGAGCCUCACCACCCGAUCCCGUUAGGCGCCUCUUACGAC